rnacentral:tRNA from 6 species
GCGCCCGUAGCUCAACCGGAUAGAGCACUCGCCUUCUAAGCGAGCGGUUGCGGGUUCGAUUCCUGCCGGGUGCGCCA